rnacentral:lncRNA from 1 species
CACUAACUUCUAACUUUGUAACCUCGAGUUGCUUUUGUUACCCUUUAUGUGACGGCCACACUGCUGUCACAUAUGUUACUAACCACGUGACGGUAAAGAGCCGUUCGGUAUAGCACUAUUUUAGAAAUUUAAAUUUAUUUCCAGUUAGAAAACUAUUCGCUGGACUAGCCACCAUCGUAAACCUAACUGGUUGCCGGCGAACGGCGUAAAACACCAGGCAUCUUCUUCUUCAUCGUAUUCUCCCUUCAUCUUUUGAGGUAAGCUUGUGAUUAUGAGUUUCUUCUCUGACUUAGCUUGUAAUUAUAGAUUUUGAUUUUUUUUUUAAAUUCGUAUUGUAGCCAUUAUUGUCAAUUUUUGUCCCGCCAGCAAUAUUUUUUUAUUCCUACAAGUUGAAGCCCCUGUGUUCUUGUUCCAUUGGUGUUGCUCACUCAAAUUAAUUUUGUUCUGCGGAAUUUACAAAGUUCAAAUGGAUUCAUUUGAAUUACUAUUGAAUUUAGCUUUAAUUCCAACAUCCAUUCUAAUGUUUUGCUAUUAGAUUUAGUUUAAUUUUAUGUUUAAAGCAUCUACAAUGAAUAGCGGAGCUUGGGUUUUAGUUUCAUUUUCUGGAUAACUUGUUUUAGUUUAUCUUGUAUGCUCACCAAGUGCUUGUUAUAUUGUCUGAUAAGUUAUAUACAUUGCUGAUUCUAUAUUAAUAAUGUUACGUUCUAUUUUCAGAAAUUAUAAUACAAAAGUUUUUACAAUGGCGUGCAUCUACAAACUGAAUUGACUUGUAGAAUAAGAGCUUGGAGUA